GGAUGGGUGGCCGAGCGGUUGAAGGCACCGGUCUUGAAAACCGGCAGGGGCUAACACCCCUCGUGGGUUCGAAUCCCACCCCAUCCGCCA
rnacentral:tRNA from 1 species